rnacentral:rRNA from 1 species
GAUGAACGCUGGCGGCGUGCCUAAUACAUGCCAGUCGAGCGAACAGACGAGGAGCUUGCUCCUCUGACGUUAGCGGCGGACGGGUGAGUAACACGUGGAUAACCUACCUAUAAGACUGGGAUAACUUCGGGAAACCGGAGCUAAUACCGGAUAAUAUAUUGAACCGCAUGGUUCAAUAGUGAAAGACGGUUUUGCUGUCACUUAUAGAUGGAUCCGCGCCGCAUUAGCUAGUUGGUAAGGUAACGGCUUACCAAGGCAACGAUGCGUAGCCGACCUGAGAGGGUGAUCGGCCACACUGGAACUGAGACACGGUCCAGACUCCUACGGGAGGCAGCAGUAGGGAAUCUUCCGCAAUGGGCGAAAGCUUGACGGAGCAACGCCGCGUGAGUGAUGAAGGUCUUCGGAUCGUAAAACUCCGUUAUUAGGGAAGAACAAAUGUGUAAGUAACUAUGCACGUCUUGACGGUACCUAAUCAGAAAGCCACGGCUAACUACGUG